AUUGAACGCUGGCGGCAUGCUUUACACAUGCAAGUCGAACGGCAGCGUGGGCUUCUGCCUGGUGGCGAGUGGCGAACGGGUGAGUAAUACAUCGGAACGUGCCCAGUAGUGGGGGAUAGCUUGGCGAAAGCCGGAUUAAUACCGCAUACGACCUGAGGGUGAAAGCGGGGGUUCUUUGGACCUCGCGCUAUUUGAGCGGCCGAUGGCAGAUUAGCUAGUUGGUGGGGUAAAGGCCUACCAAGGCGACGAUCUGUAGCUGAUCUGAGAGGACGACCUGCCACACUGGAACUGAGACACGGCCCAGACUCCUACGGGAGGCAGCAGUAGGGAAUUUUGGACAAUGGGCGAAAGCCUGAUCGAGCAACGCCGCGUGUGUGAUGAAGGUCUUCGGGUUGUAAAGCACUGUUGGCGGGGACGAAAAGAACUGUGCCAAUCCCACGGUUCGAUGACGGUACCCGCAGAAUAAGCAACGGCUAACUACGUG
rnacentral:rRNA from 1 species